UACGAAGGGGGCUAGCGUUGCUCGGAAUCACUGGGCGUAAAGCGCACGUAGGCGGGUUGUUAAGUCAGGGGUGAAAUCCCAGAGCUCAACUCUGGAACUGCCUUUGAUACUGGGUAUCUGGAGUAUGGAAGAGGUGAGUGGAAUUCCGAGUGUAGAGGUGAAAUUCGUAGAUAUUCGGAGGAACACCAGUGGCGAAGGCGGCUCACUGGUCCAUUACUGACGCUGAGGUGCGAAAGCGUGGGGAGCAAACAGG
rnacentral:rRNA from 1 species